GUAGGUGGCAAGCGUUGUCCGGAAUUAUUGGGCGUAAAGCGCGCGCAGGCGGUUCUUUAAGUCUGAUGUGAAAGCCCACGGCUCAACCGUGGAGGGUCAUUGGAAACUGGAGAACUUGAGUACAGAAGAGGAAAGCGGAAUUCCACGUGUAGCGGUGAAAUGCGUAGAGAUGUGGGGGAACACCAGUGGCGAAGGCGGCUUUCUGGUCUGUAACUGACGCUGAGGCGCGAAAGCGUGGGGAGCAAACAGGGAUUAGAUACCCUGGUAGUCCACGCCGUAAACGAUGAGUGCUAAGUGUUAGGGGGUUUCCGCCCCCUUAGUGCUGCAGCUAACGCAUUAAGCACUCCGCCUGGGGAGUACGACCGCAAGGUUG
rnacentral:rRNA from 1 species